rnacentral:rRNA from 1 species
UGCAUAUCAAUAAGCGGAGGAAAAGAAACUAACAAGGAUUCCCCUAGUAGCGGCGAGCGAAGCGGGAAGAGCUCAAAUUUAUAAUCUGGCGCUUUCGGCGUCCGAGUUGUAAUCUCUAGAAGUGUUUUCCGCGUUGGACCGCACACAAGUCUGUUGGAAUACAGCGGCACAGUGGUGAGACCCCCGUAUACGGUGCGGAUGCCCAAUGCUUUGUGAUACACUUUCGAAGAGUCGAGUUGUUUGGGAAUGCAGCUCAAAUUGGGUGGUAAAUUCCAUCUAAAGCUAAAUAUUGGCGAGAGACCGAUAGCGAACAAGUACCGUGAGGGAAAGAUGAAAAGCACUUUGGAAAGAGAGUUAACAGUACGUGAAAUUGUUGGAAGGGAAACGCUUGAAGCCAGACUUGCUGUUCGGGUUUACUCGAAUUGCAGGCCAGCAUCAGUUUUCUGGGGUGGAAAAUCACGGUUAGAAGGUAGCAGUUUCGGCUGUGUUAUAGCUUUCCGUUGGAUAUAUCCUGGGGGACUGAGGAACGCAGUGUGCUUAUUGCAGGAGCUUCGGCUUCAUCACACUUAGGAUGCUGGUGGAAUGGCUUUAAACGACCCGUCUUGAAACACGGACCACCA